UUUAUUGGAGAGUUUGAUCCUGGCUCAGGAUGAACGCUGGCGGCGUGCCUAAUACAUGCAAGUCGAGCGAAUGGAUUAAGAGCUUGCUCUUAUGAAGUUAGCGGCGGACGGGUGAGUAACACGUGGGUAACCUGCCCAUAAGACUGGGAUAACUCCGGGAAACCGGGGCUAAUACCGGAUAACAUUUUGAACUGCAUGGUUCGAAAUUGAAAGGCGGCUUCGGCUGUCACUUAUGGAUGGACCCGCGUCGCAUUAGCUAGUUGGUGAGGUAACGGCUCACCAAGGC
rnacentral:rRNA from 1 species